CCGCCGCCGGGUGUAGUAACUGGGAAUCCUAGCUGAGGUUCCCACCUGAUCACAGGACUCCCGGUGCUGGGGCUUUCAGGGCAGCAGCUCUGCACUGCCAGACUCCUGCUACAAUCACAAGGACAAGCAAGUCUUCCUGGAUCAGGUGAAGAGCAGUAAAAGAUGUUUGCAGCUUCUUCUCUGCCCAGGGCCCCAGAACUGGGCAGUGCAGCCUAGCCGGCACUUCCAACUCAGCUGCACCAAGGGAGGCACCCAGGACUCUUGGGGACAGGACCCUCAACCAAAAGAAAAGUAAGAGUAUUAGAGAUGACCAGAUGUUAUAAUGACACGCAGAGCAGGUCAGGUGAGCACCUGGAAUACCAGACAGCAAAGGAGCAGGAUGGGAAGUGGGAGAAGAAAUUGUUUGCCAAUUUCCUUGAACAUGACCAGAGGAAUAGCAAUCAGGACCAGGCACUGUUAGAGCAGCUGAUCAUCCUGAUAGCCACCAGGCUGCACCCCCCUGUACCAGCUCCAGCACCAAUGCCCGUGCACUCUCCUCCAUGCUAUCACAUCAUGCAGUCACUGGAAAAUUCUGCGCUUGG